GGGGAUGUAGCUCAGUUGGUAGAGUGCUUGCCUUGCAUGCACAAGACCCUGGGUUCAAUUCCCAGCACCACCA
rnacentral:tRNA from 1 species